AUGGAUCGAGCGAUGCAGACAUAGUGGAAACUUGCUUUGGAACCAAUUGCAGAAUGUACUAGGGACACCCAUUCCUAUGGGUUUCGUCCCGGUCGUAGCACACAAGAUUGUCAACAAUUUCUGUGGCUACUCUGCAGUGGAAAGCAUGGCCCUAAAUGGGUUCUAGAAGCUGAUAUUAAAGGUUUCUAUGACAAUAUUCACCAUAACUGGCUGUAGGAAAAUAUCCCCAUGGACAAACACAUUUAGAAGCAAUUCUAGAAAGCUGGGUUCAUGGAGAAUCAUUCUCUGCAGGAAACAACUAGGGGAGUGCCUCAAGGAGGCACAAUCUCCCCUAUUAUUGCAAAUAUGACUUUGGAUGGUUUGGAGAAAGUGGUUGCCAAAACUGCUGAAGAUACCCUAAAACUAGUACCUAAGCCUAAGAGUAAGAAAACAUCCACUUGGGUGCAUACUAUUCGCUAUGCUGAUGACUUUGUGAUCACUGGAGCAAAUAAGAAAAUGCUCGAUGGUCCUAUUCGUAG
rnacentral:rRNA from 1 species